ACCCCAUUACAGAACCCCGAUCCAACCCCAUCACAGAACCCCGAUCCAACUCCAUUACAGAACCCCGAUCCAACCCCAACACAGAACCCCGAUCCAACUCCAUUACAGAACCCAGAUCCAACCCCAACACAGAACCCCGAUCCAACUCCAUUACAGAACCCAGAUCCAACCCCAACACAGAACUCCAAUCCAACCCCAACACAGAACUCCAAUCCAACCCCAUAACAGAACCUUGAUCCAACCCCAUCACAGAACCCCGAUCCAACCCCAUCACAGAACCCCAAUCCAACCCCAACACAGAACCCCAAUCCAACCCCAACACAGAACCCCGAUCCAACCUCAUCACAGAACCCUGAUCCAACCCCAUACUAUCACAGAAACAGGUUUUUGGGCUUGUUGCUGACAAGAGUCUGGAUGCUCCUUUUCCUCUUUGCUCUAUUUCUUCUAUCUGGAAAUAGAUCUGGAAAACUGACUGUUCUGACCAGAGUCCAGA